AACGAACGCUGGCGGCAGGCCUAACACAUGCAAGUCGAGCGCCCUUUCGGGGGAGCGGCGGACGGGUGAGUAACGCGUGGGAAUAUGCCCUUCUCUACGGAAUAGCCUCGGGAAACUGAGAGUAAUACCGUAUACGCCCUGUGGGGGAAAGAUUUAUCGGGGAAGGAUUAGCCCGCGUUGGAUUAGGUAGUUGGUGGGGUAAUGGCCUACCAAGCCGACGAUCCAUAGCUGGUUUGAGAGGAUGAUCAGCCACACUGGGACUGAGACACGGCCCAGACUCCUACGGGAGGCAGCAGUGGGGAAUCUUAGACAAUGGGGGCAACCCUGAUCUAGCCAUGCCGCGUGAGUGAUGAAGGCUUUAGGGUUGUAAAGCUCUUUCAGCUGGGAAGAUAAUGACGGUACCAGCAGAAGAAGCCCCGGCUAACUCCGUG
rnacentral:rRNA from 1 species